UUGUUUUUCUCCACCUUUUUUGUUUCUCAUUUCCCGUGUGUUUCCAGGGCUAAUUGGUCAUUUGAGUCACCUGUGCUUUGAGUAUUUAGUUUUUAGGAAGUGGACUUUGGCUUCAUUUGAUGUCCUGUCCUUUGUCACCUGUGAAGAACGCAGGACUGAGACGUCGCUGGGUAUGGCGCAGCCGGGGCCCCACCCUGGAGCCAGGCCCAAGGUUGGGGCUCGCAUGCCUAUUUUCACGAGGCCCGGCCAGACACAGCCCGAAAGAGCGACGUGGGACCGUCCUUAGGUGGACCCACCAUUCGCAGGAGGAACCGUAGGGGGCCGGUGCAUAGUGGAUUGGGCAGCAGCCAAAGGCGGGAGCCUAGGUGACCCAAUCCCUGGAUAACCGAUCUGGCUAUUGGGACAUGGACUGUUAUGUCACCAAAUAUGUACCACUAUCAAAACAUCAUUCCUAAGUUACUAAAGUACUUUCUUCCACAUGCACCUCUUUGGUCCAGUCUGUGGCAUGGUAACCCUGGGUGACAUGGAAAAGGUCCAUACGACAAGUUUUCGAAGAGGUUCAGUCAGAAACAAACACGGCAUUUGACAUGGACAACAACUGUGCCAUGUGCUGUGCUUCAAAGCCUCCAGGAACAGGGCCCCCGACUACAAACUGGAUACAGUGUGACAGCUGCGAGCGUUGGUUUCAUGAGCAGUGUGUGGAUGUAGAUAAAGAAAAACUUGAAGAAGCAACAGCUGGUAUCUGGCACUGCCCUAUUUGUUACUUGGUGGCGACAGGCUGCAAGGUGCAUGGGUUUAUUGCACAAAUAAUAUCAUACAAUCUUGAGAAAAUCAUUGUCAGAAUAAAGAUCUAUAAACAUGUGUUGUUUGAAUGUCACCCAUGUAUCCAGUGUACAAAAGGUUCUGUGAGACGGUGCGGUUGACAGCAGGAAUUCACCCCCUUCACGUUCAGUGAAAGGGUGUUGAGUCGCGGGACAGGCACGGAAGCAGAGAGGACUUUGUCAGCUAACGCCGACUAGUUAAUAGACAGUCUUAAACUAUCGAGGGUGUGUGUUUGUGCGCAUAGUAAGUGCAAGUUGUUACCCUCACAGACCAAUUGUUAUACGUCACGUUUAUGUAGCGUUUAGUUAGCCGUUAACAAGCUGUUGCUAGUAGCUAAUGUCCUUUACUAUACGUAUACCUGUGCACCUGUGUUUGUAUCAUUCUUACGUUCGUUAUAUUCUGGUUAGUUUGGGGCUCCUAUAAUGUCGGUAUAUGUAAAAUUAAAAAAAAAAGUACUCAGGUAAGAGGACAAACCUGUCCUUCUGACAGCAUUAGAACAUAGAAUUAAGUAUACAUAUGUUCAGAUAACUCAUAAAAUAUGCUCUAAUCACAGUAUCCAAAUAUAACAACCCUUGUGUUUUAUUUAAAACAAUUAACUUCUUGAUGCCCCUCAUUCAACCUCUCUAGGGAAUACUACUGAACUAUGAGAGAACUUCUUGACUUUUUUUUUUAAAUCAAGAAGGUUAAGAGCACUAGGGCCCUGAUUAACUCUUAUUGACCCCUCCCUCCGUGCUACUUGCCCAGCUGUUUUUGAUCAGUUUGAGGCUGUUAUGCCAUCUUUUCUGGAAGAAAUAAUGACUCAUAUGAAGCCCACAGGAUCUCCCAAAUGACCCAAUCCCACCUCAGCUUUUGAAAGAGGUCUUCUCCAGUGUGUCUCUCUACGUUCUGAUCAUUAUUAAUGCGAGCCUUACAAAUGGUGUUAUUCCAGCAAGUUUUAAGCAUGCAGUGGUGACACCUUUUAAUCAAGACGCUUAGAUUCAUCUGUGCGCCCCAAUUUUAGACCCAUAUCCAAACUACCAUUUCUCUCUAAGAUUUUGGAGAAAAUUGUGGGAGUUCAAGGAAGUGCCUUGGACUGGUUCAGGUCCUAUUUAACACUUUUGUGUCAGUGUUGGAACCGCAGUCUUCUGUAGCGCCUCUAACAUGUGGAGUACCACAAGGGUCCAUCCUUGCCCCUCUACUCUUGUCUCUGUAUGUAUUGCCUUUUGGCUUGAUCUUGUGGAAACACGACAUCUUAUUUCACCUUUAUGCUGAUGACACACAAAUCUAUGUCAAAAGAGGGCGCAUACUCCACUGUUCAACUUUUACAGUGCAUUGAGGAAGUUAAGGCCUGGAUGGCAAGCAAUUUUUUACAUUUUAAUUAUAAAAAACUUAGGUCUUGCUGUUUUCGAACCCAGUAAUGACUCUAAAGUUCAGACCGACCUGGGUUUUUUAA